UAGUAUUAGCUAACUUUAAAGAAGGCUAAUAGGUUGAUUUGUGACAAUAACACUAUAACAUUGUCAUA